GAUGAACGCUGGCGGCGUGCUUAACACAUGCAAGUCGAACGAAAAGGCGAGUGCUUGCCCUGUUACUCGAGUGGCGCACGGGUGAGUAACACGUGGGUGUUCUGCCCUUUACUUCGGGAUAUGCUUUGGAGACUGGGUCUAAUACCGGGGAGGACAUCUUUUUGGGUAUUGUUGUGGAAAGCUUUUGCGGUAUGGGAUGAGCUCGCGGCCUAUCAGCUUGUUGGUGGGGUAAUGGCCUACCAAGGCGUCGACGGGUAGCCGGCCUGAGAGAGUGUACGGACACAUUGGAACUGAGAGACGGGCCAGACUCCUACGGGAGGCAGCAGUGGCGAAUAUUGCACAAUGCGCGCAAGCCUGAGGCAGCGACGUCGCGUGGGGGAUGAAGGCCUUCGGGUUGUAAACUCCUUUCGCUAGGGAAGAAGCUUUUUUGUGACGGUACCUGGAGAAGAAGCACCGGCUAACUACGUG
rnacentral:rRNA from 1 species